rnacentral:rRNA from 1 species
GACGAACGCUGGCGGCGUGCUUAACACAUGCAAGUCGAACGAUGAUGCCCAGCUUGCUGGGUGGAUUAGUGGCGAACGGGUGAGUAACACGUGAGUAACCUGCCCCUGACUCUGGGAUAAGCGUUGGAAACGACGUCUAACACUGGAUAUGAUCACCGGCCGCAUGGUCUGGUGGUGGAAAGAUUUUUUGGUUGGGGAUGGACUCGCGGCCUAUCAGCUUGUUGGUGAGGUAAUGGCUCACCAAGGCGACGACGGGUAGCCGGCCUGAGAGGGUGACCGGCCACACUGGGACUGAGACACGGCCCAGACUCCUACGGGAGGCAGCAGUGGGGAAUAUUGCGCAAUGGGCGAAAGCCUGAUGCAGCAACGCCGCGUGAGGGAUGACGGCCCUCGGGUUGUAAACCUCUUUUAGUAGGGAAGAAGCGAAAGUGACGGUACCUGCAGAAAAAGCACCGGCUAACUACGUGCCAGCAGCCGCCGUAAAAC